UGAGAGAUGGCCGAGUGGUUCAAGGGGUAACAUUGGAACUACUAUGUAGGCUUUUAUUUACUGAGGGUCUAAAUCCCUCUCUUUCUA
rnacentral:tRNA from 1 species